GGGAUGACACAGUAGGAUAAGCUAAGCACACUGUUGGUUAUGUGUGCCCAAGCAUUGAGGCAGUCAAAGUAGGCAAAUCCGCUUUGAUAAUGCUGGGAUGUGAUGGGGAGCGAAAUUUAGUAGCGAAGUAGCUGAUUUCACACUGUCAAGAAAAGUCUCUAUCGAGGUUAAAGGUACCCGUACCGCAAACCGACACAGGUGGGUGAGGAGAGUAUCCUAAGGCUAGCGAGAGAACUGUUGUUAAGGAACUCGGCAAAAUGACCCCGUAACUUAGGGAUAAGGGGUGCCACCAUCAGGUGGCCGCAGAGAAUAGGCCCAAGCGACUGUUUACCAAAAACAUAGGUUUCUGCUAAGUCGCAAGACGAUGUAUAGGAGCUGACGCCUGCCCGGUGCUGGAAGGUUAAGGGGAUCUGUUAGAGCAAUCGAAGCAGUGAACUUAAGCCCCAGUAAACGGCGGCCGUAACUAUAACGGUCCUAAGGUAGCGAAAUUCCUUGUCGGGUAAGUUCCGACCCGCACGAAAGGCGUAACGAUUUGGGCACUGUCUCAACAACAGACUCGGUGAAAUUGUAAUUCCGGUGAAGAUGCCGGAUACCUGCGACAGGACGGAAAGACCCCAUGGAGCUUUACUGUAGCUUGACAUUGGGUCUUGGUACUACAUGUACAGGAUAGGUGGGAGGCUUUGAAACCAGGACGCCAGUUUUGGCGGAGCCAUCCUUGGGAUACCACCCUUGUAGUACUGGGACUCUAACCAUAGGCCAUGAAUCUGGUCUUGGGACACUGUCAGGUGGGCAGUUUGACUGGGGCGGUCGCCUCCCAAAAGGUAACGGAGGCGCUCAAAGGUUCUCUCAGUACGGUCGGAAAUCGUACGUAGAGUGUAAAGGCAAAAGAGAGCUUGAUUGCAAGACAUACAGGUCGAGCAAGGAUGAAAAUCGGACUUAGUGAUCCGGUGGUUCUGCGUGGAAGGGCCAUCGCUCAACGGAUAAAAGCUACCCUGGGGAUAACAGGCUUAUCUCCCCCAAGAGUCCACAUCGACGGGGAGGUUUGGCACCUCGAUGUCGGCUCAUCA
rnacentral:rRNA from 1 species